rnacentral:rRNA from 1 species
GCGUGGGCAACCUGCCCUCUAGAUGGGGACAACAUCCCGAAAGGGGUGCUAAUACCGAAUGUGACAGCAAUCUCGCAUGAGGAUGCUGUGAAAGAUGGCCUCUAUUUAUAAGCUAUCGCUAGAGGAUGGGCCUGCGUCUGAUUAGCUAGUUGGUGGGGUAACGGCCUACCAAGGCGAUGAUCAGUAGCCGGUCUGAGAGGAUGAACGGCCACAUUGGGACUGAGACACGGCCCAGACUCCUACGGGAGGCAGCAGUGGGGAAUCUUCCGCAAUGGGCGAAAGCCUGACGGAGCAAUGCCGCGUGAGUGAUGAAGGAAUUCGUUCCGAAAAGCUCUUUUGUUUAUGACGAAUGUGCAGGCUGUGAAUAAUGACUUGUAAUGACGGUAGUAAACGAAUAAGCCACGGCUAACUACGUGCCAGCAGCCGCGGUAAUACGUAGGUGGCGAGCGUUGUCCGGAAUUAUUGGGCGUAAAGAGCAUGUAGGCGGUUUUUUAAGUCUGGAGUGAAAAUGCGGGGCCCAACCCCGUAUGGCUCUGGAUACUGGAAGACUUGAGUGCAGGAGAGGAAAGGGGAAUUCCCAGUGUAGCGGUGAAAUGCGUAGAUAUUGGGAGGAACACCAGUGGCGAAGGCGCCUUUCUGGACUGUGUCUGACGCUGAGAUGC